CCGUGUACGUACAAGCAGUGGGAGCACAGGUUUACCUGUGUGACUGCGUACCUUUUGUAUAAUGGGUCAGCGACUUAUAUUCUGUAGCAAGGUUAACCGAAUAGGGGAGCCGGAGGGAAACCGAGUCUUAAUUGGGCGUUAAGUUGCAGGGUAUAGACCCGAAACCCGGUGAUCUAGCCAUGGGCAGGUUGAAGGUUGGGUAACACUAACUGGAGGACCGAACCGACUAAUGUUGAAAAAUUAGCGGAUGACCUGUGGCUGGGGGUGAAAGGCCAAUCAAACCGGGAGAUAGCUGGUUCUCCCCGAAAGCUAUUUAGGUAGCGCCUCGUGAAUUCAUCUCCGGGGGUAGAGCACUGUUUCGGCUAGGGGGCCAUCCCGGCUUACCAACCCGAUGCAAACUGCGAAUACCGGAGAAUGUUAUCACGGGAGACACACGGCGGGUGCUAACGUCCGUCGUGAAGAGGGAAACAACCCAGACCGCCAGCUAAGGUCCCAAAGUCAUGGUUAAGUGGGAAACGAUGUGGGAAGGCCCAGACAGCCAGGAUGUUGGCUUAGAAGCAGCCAUCAUUUAAAGAAAGCGUAAUAGCUCACUGGUCGAGUCGGCCUGCGCGGAAGAUGUAACGGGGCUAAACCAUG
rnacentral:rRNA from 1 species